GGACAGUGCAGAAGUAUGAGCUGUUGGUGGGCCCACUAGAAGCUGCCUGCUCUCCACAAACAGAGGUUCUUUAUAAAUGUGGUUGGAGCUCUGUUGCUAAGCCAAGUCAAAUGUUUGCUGAGGCAAUGGCCAGAUGUUCCUUCUUAUCC